rnacentral:rRNA from 1 species
UACGUAGGGUGCGAGCGUUAAUCGGAAUUACUGGGCGUAAAGCGUGCGCAGGCGGUUCGUUAAGUCAGAUGUGAAAGCCCCGGGCUUAACCUGGGAAUGGCCGUUGAAACUGGCGAACUGGAGUGUGGCAGAGGGGGGUGGAAUUCCGCGUGUAGCAGUGAAAUGCGUAGAGAUGCGGAGGAACACCGAUGGCGAAGGCAGCCCCCUGGGCUAACACUGACGCUCAGGCACGAAAGCGUGGGGAGCAAACAGG